UUUAGCCUGAGAAGCUUAAUCCAGGCCCUGGAAGAGGCAAAAGAGGAAGCAAAGUUGAAAGCUGAGAAAGAAGCAAGAGAAAAAGAGAGAGAGCUAACAGGCUAGAUGCUAUUAGGAUAAAGGAUUCGAAAAUGGAUAAUAACGUAGAUUCGAUCUCUAAGUUCGUUCUGGUAUUUGUUAUAAUAGUUCAGUUCAAUAAAUUAGAUAUUGAUCA